rnacentral:rRNA from 1 species
CGAAAGAUGGUGAACUAUGCCUGACCAGGAUGAAGCCAGAGGAAACUCUGGUGGAGGUCCGAAGUGAUUCUGACGUGCAAAUCGAUCGUCUGAGUUGGGCAUAGGGGCGAAAGACUAAUCGAACCAUCUAGUAGCUGGUUCCCUCCGAAGUUUCCCUCAGGAUAGCUGGAACUCAAUGGAUGAAUUUCAUCCGGUAAAGCGAAUGAUUAGAGGCAUUGGGGACGGAAUGCUCUCAACCUAUUCUCAAACUUUAAAUGGGUGAGAAGCCAAGCUUGCUUAAAGAGGUGAAGCUUUGGCGAUUAAUCUGAGUAUCUAGUGGGCCACUUUU